ACGUAGGUGGCAAGCGUUGUCCGGAAUUAUUGGGCGUAAAGAGAAUGUAGGUGGGCUUUUAAGUCCGAUGUGAAAAUGCGGGGCUCAACCCCGUAUGGCAUUGGAUACUGGAAGUCUUGAGUGCAGGAGAGGAAAGGGGAAUUCCCAGUGUAGCGGUGAAAUGCGUAGAUAUUGGGAGGAACACCGGUGGCGAAGGCAACCUUCUGGGCUUUGUCUGACGCUGAGACGCGAAAGCUAGGGGAGCAAACGG
rnacentral:rRNA from 1 species